UGCAUGUUUUGCAGCCCCAAAACAUGCAGAAAUCCCUUUUUUUUGUAUGAACUCUGGUUAAAAAAAAUAGUUCAUACAACAUUUGUGAAGCUUUUUUUUUUUUUUUUUAAACUGUGUCAAAUGUCUUUUUUUGUCUUCCCCGUAUCUACACACGAGAAGAUUUCCAGGUGAAAGAAACCGGGGCUGUACAACCACACUUACAUAAAUACUACUGUUUACAACAGAUGCAUUCAUGAUUUUGAUAUAUCCCUCUUUUUGACUGUCCCUCUUAAUACAUCCCUCAACCAAAUUAGCACUGAUUUUACAUUUAUGACAAACUCCAGCAAAUCGUGAAAAAAUACAGCCAGUAGUAACCUCUAUAAUUAUUUUUAUUAUUAUUAUUAUUAUUGUUAUUUUGUCACCAUUGUCAUCCUUGACUUGCUCACUGGGUGAUGUCUGUGAAUCUAACACAAACCCUGACAUAAAAUGUGCUAUAAAAAAAUAACAUUGUGUAGAUUAGAAUUAAGACACAAUAACAGAAUUCUUUUUUUCUUCUACUGUGGUAGUCCUGCUGGGGGGGCAAUAGAAACUACCACAGAAAUUCUGAUGAUUUCCACUACAAACACCAUUACAAACCAUCAGCUAACCAUUAAAACCAUUACGGUUUCCAUUAAAACCAAUAUAACUCCCAUUAUAACUUUUAAAAGCAGUAUAGAAUCUCCUUAGCAGGGCAGUGUAUCUAAAUCAUUCUGCAUACAGGUAUAAAUAUCAAAUGGGGAAAAAAUAAGAGAAAAUGUGGGAUUGAGGAGAAUUUGGCAACCGGAUUCAGUUUCGUUUCGUGCUAACAAGCCCACGUCAUUCUCAGUAGGCACGUGCUUUCAUUCUGGGAAUCUGAAUCUUUUCAGUGAUCGGUUCAUCUCACCAAUAAGAGUCGACUCUUUAGCUCUCAAACGGCUCACUGCCAUUUUCCCCGCAAAAAUGAUCUGUUCAUCGCUUAAACGAUUCAACAAAAUCUUAAUAAAUCUUCAGAUUCAUAACAUCAUGUUAUCGUUAGCAUUGUGUGUAAAGUAUAUUUAAAUAAACGUUUUGGGGGUUUUUUUUCAAUGGUAAUUGCUCUCUCAAAUACAGCGAGUAUUCAAGUAUUAAU
ensembl:lncRNA